rnacentral:rRNA from 1 species
UACGAAGGGGGCUAGCGUUGCUCGGAAUCACUGGGCGUAAAGCGCACGUAGGCGGAUCUUUAAGUCAGGGGUGAAAUCCUGGAGCUCAACUCCAGAACUGCCUUUGAUACUGGGGAUCUCGAGUCCGGGAGAGGUGAGUGGAACUGCGAGUGUAGAGGUGAAAUUCGUAGAUAUUCGCAAGAACACCGGUGGCGAAGGCGGCCAACUGGUCCGGAUCUGACGCUGAGGCGCGAAAGCGUGGGGAGCAAACAGG